UUCAGGUGUUCAGUUAAAUCCAUUAUCAUUCAUUAACCCAUUUUUUCUAGUUAAACAUUUAGUCAAAAUGAAAAUGUUGACUGCAGCAAAAAUCCUCAUAAUGUACAAUACUUUCGUGUUUCUGUAUUGGUGUUUCAAAUGGGGGAAACACUCAUGGAGUACAGAAAUCAAAACGAAAUGGUUUUGUCGAUGUGUUGAAAAAUAAUUUAACCUUUGUUUAUUUGUUAGCACAACAUUGUCAUCAUUCUUUAAGCAGUGGCAUUGGCAGCAUGUUGAUAGUGGUCUAUUAACUUUCAGUGAAGACUGUCCAUACAACAGAGGUUUCGAUAUGCAUGGUACACUUUUCUCAAGCUGCUGGAUGAUUGUAGUUGUCCAGUGUGCGGUGAAUGUCCUUCAACAGUUGCCAUGGAUGGUGUUGCUUUGGGCUUAAGAAAAACUUUCAUGCCAUGGAGGAACCAUCUUCAAGCAAAAACUAAUGCCACUGUACUGACUGGAAGUUCCCAUAAUACAAGAGUCUUUGUGAACAACCGUGCAACAAGACUGCUACUUGAGAAAUAUGCUUAAAAUGGUAUUGGAAAUGAAGAAUUUCAGAAGUUGAAAGAUCAAAUAGCUGAAUACCAACCUUCUUUAAACAGUUUGAUUGAAGAUUUACUAUAAAAUUCACAACUAAAGUGUCCUGAUGUUUAUAAAGAUCUCUUGCUGGCUUUAUCAUCUAAUUAUCCAGUUUGUGCUCUUAUUCACUACAACGAGAAAAUAUUUGAUAUAUUGAUUAAGUUAGCUAAUAGUACUGUAAUUUCAUCUGUCUUGGACACUGCAUUACUAGAAGCAGAUGUUCCAUUAUUGGCCAAUCUCUUUCGACUUCUGAAAUGGAACAUUCCAGACUGUUUGAAAGCAAUUCUACAGGAACUUGUCAUCAAAGCCAAGGCACCUUAUUCGUCCAGCCAGCAUGACAUUCCGCUGUGCGGAGCAGACUGCAAAUGUAAGAGGUCUUGGGGUUUUUCCUUCUCUCCCACCUAGCUGUCAUCGUGGAGAUUACCUUUUAGAUGACAAGAAACCCCGACUGGAGACUGACUGUUCGAAGAAAGGGUCUAAGCAUCCAACUCUGACGCCUGGGUUGUUCACACUCUCAUGUAUUCAUGGUAUCUGCUAUGGUUUUUGAAAUCAUGGAAGACACAGAAAGUCCCAAUAUUCCAUUUACUACUUUGAGGACACGAUUUCAUGCAGGUUCUGUCACAGUUGGAAACAGAAAACAUAACAGCAUCAAGCUUGAAGUAUAAUUGAAUCUACUGAAAGUUGUCUCAUAACCACGUGUACUCUCCCACUCCGUUUCCAAUUCAGGUUUCUCCAUAGAUGCACAGAGACUACAAAUUUCCUGGAAUAAAGAAAAAUACCCAUUAUGA